AUGAGCACGCUGAGCCUUCGAGGGCAGACGCCGUGCAGCGUGGAGCUGAGGUGUGGGGGGCCGGAGGGGGCGAUGAAGCACCAACACCGGGGUGCUCCGGCCCUCACCCACCCGCAGCGCCAGGGCACUGGGGCACACGGCAGAGCCUGUGACACCUCUCCCGAUGCCUUUGACAUCUCCAGGAUGGCUGCUCAGGGUCGGGCUCUGGCUGGGGAGGCUCAGGGCGCUCCGCUCUCCCAUGGUGCAGAGCCGGCGGGACGUGGCUCCUGGAGGCAGCGUCGGGGCGACGGGAGCAGCUCCAGCUCUGUCUGCACCGAGGACUUGGCUGCCGCAUUUUGGGAGGGCAUGGUGGAGCCCGCAGUGUUCUCCGAGGGGGAGGAGGACGAGGCCCUCACUUUCCCUACCGAGGCCGAUGGCGAUGGGCAGGAUGCGUCCCCCUCCGUGGGACCAGGCUGUCCCUGGCGGGACACGUCCCCAUGGCUGACGAGGAGGGAGAGCCUGGAGUCCCUGGGAGUGAGGAUUUCCAGGCUGAGCCAGAUCAGUGCUGGGACAGCCCGAGGGGGUCCCUGCCCUGCCCCCUCCGAGGGGGACACGGGGCAUCCCUGGAGACCCCCAGGCAGCUCGGCCAGCAGGAGCGGGGCCGGGACCGGGGGACACCCCAGGAGCAAGCCCACGGAGACCAGACAUCAGCAGCCAGCAGCUGUCCGGGGGUGGCAAGGAGGAGACGCCGCCCUCACAGUGGAGAAGGAAGGAGGUGGCAGCAGGCAGAGGGGAGCUCGCUGCUCGUCUCACCGUACUGAGGCAGCAGCGGGACCCUCCGGCAGAUGCAGCCCCCACUCCAAGGUGCUGAGCUUCGUGUCCUGCCCAGGCGGAGUGACCCAGCCCCAGUGGCAGCGCGGGAGGCUGGCAGCUGUCCUGUCCCACAAGCUGGUGUCGCUGCGCGGGGCCCUGCGGAGGAGCCAGGAGAGGACGCAAGAGCUGGGAGCUGGUGCUCAGGGGACCUGGAGAGAAGGGGAGAGAGGCAGAGGCUCCGCGAGCUGCAGCAUCGAACCCGCUCCCUCCUGCGGCAGCGGCUGGAGACCCUGGAGCGGCUCCGUGUGCUGCUGCGGGAGGAGAAGGCGGCCGCGCCUCGGCAGCUCCAGGAGGCUAUGGAGAAGGAGCGGGACUGGAGGCAGCAGCGGGCCCGGAGGCAGAAGCGGGAGCAUCUUCACCGGGAGAAGGUGGCAGCGGUGGGAGGCCUGGAGGAGCCGCUGGCCCAACAGAGGUUCCUGGUACCAGACACCUCACGCCCCAGCAGGAGCAGCAGGAGGAAACACGACUGCAGGAGGAGUCGUCUGCUGUGACAGGGACUUGGACUGGGGCACAGAGGUGCUGAGACAUCCCUGGCUGCUCCAUCUCCCUGUACAUACCCAGAAGAACCAGCCAUAA
ensembl:lncRNA